AAAAAAACCUAAAACAGGUACUGGUGAUCUUUAAACAAACAAACAAACAAAAAACUCAAACGGGUAUUGGUGAUCUUUAAACAAACAAAUAAACAAACAAACAAAAACUCAAACGGGUACUGGUGAUCUUUAAACAAACAAACAAACAAACAAACAAACAAACAAACAAACAAAAAACUCAAACAGGUACAAGUGAUCUUUAAACAAACAAACAAACAAACAAACAAAAAAACAAACAAACACUCAAACAGGUACAGGUGAUCUUUAAACAAACAAACAAACAACAAAAACUCAAACAGGUACAGGUGAUCUUUAAACAAACAAACAAUCAAACAAACAAAAAACUCAAACAGGUACUGGUGAUCUUUAAACAAACAAACAAUCAAACAAACAAAAAACUCAAACAGGUACUGGUGAUCUUUAAACAAGCAAACAAACAAACAAACAAACAAACAAAAAAACAAACAAACACUCAAACAGGUACUGGUGAUCUUUAAACAAGCAAACAAACAAACAAACAAACAAACAAACAAAAAAACAAAAAAAACACUCAAACAGGUACAGGUGAUCUUUAAACAAACAAACAAACAACAAAAACUCAAACAGGUACAGGUGAUCUUUAAACAAAC
ensembl:lncRNA